CUGAAGGGAAUGUUGCCUCUACAGAGGGGCACAUCUUGGUGGUGCAGCUCAGACAAGGGGCUGCGUUUGGGCUUGGGAUGGUAUGCAAUGCACAGCACAGGGCAUGCAAGCAGGUCAUGCAGCAAACCCAAAACACUUGGGAAAGGAGAAGCAAUGUUCUCCAAACCAUGCAUCUGAGUGCUUGCAAGUGGGGGGGUGAGAGAAAUGCCACAGUCCUGGGUGGAUUCCUGGGGCACUGUGAAGUGGGGGAUGCUCUGGGGAGCAAUGGUUGGGUGGGGGCUGUGGGGCUGACCCCAGCAGGCAGCCCUGGCUCAGCAUGGCUCAUCUCCCCACUCCGGCUGCUGACACAGCAGCUUCCACCCAGCCGUGGGCCGGUGCAGCCCCAGGCAACGGGGACACGUCCCUGAGCCUUUGAAGUGCAGCAUCCCCCGGAAAAAUGCUGGCUACCAUGUGCUUCCCACCACAGCUGGGCAGGAGCAGCCUUCCCCCGCGCCGCUGAAGCCACAAAUGUGCCACAAACACAAGGGAUGAAAUUGCAUUUGGGCAGGGAGGGGAACUGGAUGCACAGAGCUGAGCCCCUUGGCCGAGUUUCCCACUGGCACAGCCCCCUCUGCACGCCCCCAGAGCUCAGCCCCCCAAAAACAGCUCAGACCCUGCAAUGGCAUAAGGUCGCAUCCAUCCACCCGCAGCCCCAUCCCCGCGAUGGUUUACACCCUGCUGCUGAGCUGGCCGGUUCAGCAAGCCCGGCGCGGCGCUGAGCAUCCUUGGCAGCAUUUCUUGUCAAACAUCGGCUCUGUGCUUCCUUGGUGGCACGCGGAUGGGUCGGAGAGGCGGGGAGCAGUCGGGGCUCGCAGGAAUGUGGCUGCACUCCCACGCCAUGGAAAUGGGCGGCAGGUAAACAAGCAGCUGCUCGGCAAGCCAUGGUCCUCGGCCGACCUGUAGGGACAGUUCGGCGGUGGCAGUUUGCUCAUGGAAUUCCUGGCUCGUUCCUCUGCAGGAGGGACAUGGUGUGGGGCUGUGGGGGCUGUUUUACAGUCAGUGCUUUGCACAAGCCAGUGGGCAAAAGGAAUCGUUUGCCUCCUUUCUACUCUUCCCUUUCCUUUUGGGCUGUUUGCUCUACAAAGGAAUUGGCAAUUAGAGAUUGACUGUUCGAUGCAGCCCAAUACCUCAGGCUGAUGUUUGCGGCGAUGGAACUAAUGACAACCACAUGGAUGAGGGAUUCACGCUGGGACAGCCCAGCCACAGGCACAGAGCUCUGCCAGACAACCAGCAGCGUUGGGACAAGUGGCACCGGCCUUGGGGACACCACCAUGUGCCUGCUCCUGUGGUUCAGCAGCUGCACUGUUGGUUCCAUCUCCAGCUUUGGGAAGGGGAGCAAGAGGGCCUGGUGCCAUGGGUGGAUGGGCUGUGCUGAUGGGUGAGGAGCACUUCUGGGAAGUAGAAGGUGAUGCGUUUUGAAAUAGUCUCUUCCUUGUCUUGUGGAUGUCUAUUGGAGAUCACGCAGGCUGCUUAGAGAAAUCAUGAUUAUGCCAAAGAUUGCUCUGCUUCUAGGCUGGAAAGUGCAAAUUCUGGGCAGGAAUUAAACUUCUUUACAGCUGAGAACAAAAAAAUGUCAAGCACUUUUUGUAGGAAAAAAAAAAAAGAGAAGUCUUCUAAAAGAAGUAAAAUGAGAGCACUCGUGCAACCUGGAGACAGCAGAUCAGGACUGAAAUAGAUGACUGGAAGUGGAAACCAGGGAGAUGAGAAGCCCUGGUGGAACUGCCUGCUCCACCUGCACAGCUUUUCUGGCGAGGCCAGUGGGGUGAAUGCAGCUGUCCACGCCAUACAAAGCGAGGCACAUACAGGAUGUGUUCACCUGCAAUGAAAAUCUUUCCAUUAACUAUUCAGGACUCCGACUUGUCCCAUCAGCGUCCAAAAGACAAACGUCCCCUUUGCUUGGGGCUUCGAAUGAGGGCGAGCCUAACCCCCUGUGCCUGAGUUCCGCAGAUUUCUCUUCCGACAAAAAAAGAGCAACGCAGAGCAAAGCGAGCUGGUUUUCCGCUUGAGACGAUUACAACGUCCCCGAGGGCCGUGCAGCCGCCGGGGCACGCGUAGCACGCAGCCUCCGCCAGGGGCUGCUGCCGGCUUUGCAAAGCGCCCGCUGCGACCGGGAGCUGCGCACGGAGCCGCUCAGAGCCCCGCGGAGCUGUGUGCGGGGUUUGGGCGCGGGGGGCACGCGUGUUACCCUGUCCUCCUCCCUGUUACUCCUGCACAUCUGCAGCAGCAAGGAGGAGGCUCCCCGGUGGCGUCACCCACCUCUUAUUUCCAGUACUUAGAGAUAUAAAACCAAACUGGACGGGAGAAGGGCGGCCACUCCAACUAUAGUGAUGACACAGACAGAGUGGACAACCAACAGAUGGAGCCUGGAACCACCGCUCACUUUUUCUCAUUGUUUCCAUCUUCUCCAUAAUGAGAAACCAGGAGCCGGGCGAGUGCCCACCCCGUGCCUGUCACCAAAGAGUGCAAAGGAAGAAACUGCAUGUUUCCUGUAGCCGCAGAGCCCAGAAGGUGGAGAAAAGGACUCAGCUAAGUGAGCACCGUGCUUACACACACGAAUUGCUAAGCUGGCACUAGCAGCAUUGCACUCUCCUUCUAGGGCCAACAUCUUUGGGUAUGUCAGAUUUGCCCUCGGGCUUCACUGCUAAUCUGCUGGCUUGGCAUGGUGGAACUGCAGUGUGUGCUGUUGUGCAAUGGCUUGAGCUGUACGGAGCAGUGAUUCAUGUCCUUUCCUCACAAGCAUCUCGUCUAUUUGCAGGGACCUCGGUGAAGUUUUGCUCUCUAAGUGCAAAACUCAUAUUGGGCACGUGAUUUCUUUGGGCCGAUAUUUCUGCCAAGCUGCACCAACGGCUGGGGCAAAACCAUAUCCCUCAAACCUCCCUGCCCUGCCCCGAUAACUGCAAAACCGCUGCACCCACACACUCCUGGAUCUCGAUCUUAGUCCUGGGGCUCCUUUCUCCUUUGUGAGUUUUUCAGCAAAUUCCCUUCUGUGCCCUGGUGAAAGAUGUGCCCGCUCCGCACUCCGUGCAGAACCAAGUGUGCAAACAGAGCCUGGAGGUGCGGGGCUUCACCGCCCGCCUGGCCCAGCUGCUUGCAGCGCUGUGAUUUAUGCUUUGAUUUGUGAAUCCCUCUUCCUGCCAGGUGAUUGCAUGGGCCCUUGCCUGCACAUUAUUUUCGCAUUUGCUUUUGCUUCCCCCUUCCCCAGUUCUCACGAAAUGGUAUUCAUUUUUAUGAAAGCAAUCUAUUCUUGAGGCUGCCAAAGGCUUAUCAGGUUCGGCAUACGUUCAGACAAGUUGUGCCUGGCGAUUUGGAGGGAAGAAAAUGAAUGAAAGCAACAGCACAGGGGAGGCCGAGCGGGGCCAGGCUCCAGAACGGAGAUUUUGGCUCCAGGCAAGGGUGGAGGUGAGGAGCUGAGCUGAAGAGGGACAGAAACAGGGCAAAGGGAGUGGGGAGAGACUUCACACCCCCCCAAGAUAUUUGCAAUAGCAUCACUGCCAAUCCGGAGCUGCUCUCCGUGCAGGAAAGUGUGGUGGUGAGUGCUCCUUUAAGAAACUCCUUGGAAACUUCAAGAGAAGAUGAAUCUUCCUCUUGACGAAUUAAUUUUCUCCCUUCGCCUGACCCGUCAGCCCGCACUGCCAGCAAAGCUCCCAUUAGCUUCGGUGCAGUUUGCCAACAUUCGCUCAGCUCCGAGCCCCGCAGAAAUCCGCUGGAGCCUUUCCAUUGAUUUCGAGGAGCUCCGGGUCAAAUCCCCGACUGCGGGACGAGGCGCGGGUAUGCACUGCUGUGAGUGAUGAGCUGUGGGGAGACGUCUUCAUCCCUGGGCAGGGCCGGGAGGAGGGAUGGGGAUGCUAAGUGGAACCAUCCUGCAGUGAGGUCAUUCGCUUCGCUGCGCUCCUUCCCUUCUCCCGGGGAGGAGAUGGCAACUUUCACGCUGACACCAAGGGCUUUAUUUCCCAUCUGUUCUCUGUCUGCUCCGUCCCCGAGGCUGUCACCUGCGGCACUGCCACCACUGCUGUCCUGCAGCCCCCGAGGAGAAACCUCCCUGAGCCAACCGCUUACGAGCUCUCCUCGAGAGGCAGCCAAACACGGCCUUUAUCAGCGCAUGAGAGCUUGCAAAGAUAACGCUUCAAAGAAAACAAGUUCUAAACACACCUUUAAAAGCCUUAAAAUGUAAUUCCAUAAAUGUUUGUGUUACUUGGGCGAGAGAUAAAGCAAAGUGGUAUUGCUGAAUUGUAGCGGGGCUGAAUACCUGCAAACUUCUCCUGUGUCCCUAUCAGAUGAAUAGUUCACUUAUUAACCUAGAGCUGCCUACAGCAGAGCCCUUUCCUUUCUCAGUGAUCUUCUCCCUGCUGUGGGCUCUGUUUGCUCGUGGCAGUGCCGCUCCGCUAGGACAUGGGAGCAAAACCUUGAGUUGAAAUCCUUCCUGGUGCUCCAACCAAACACAAGCAGCUCCCGCCGUGCACCUCCGGAGAUGCCACCCCACUGCAGCAGGAGGUGAGGACAUUUUCCAUGGGAAGACUGCAGGAAGCCAGCAGCCUCACGGUGGGUGCGUGGUUGUGGCUUCAUGGGGAGAUUGGUGAUGCAUUUUCCAAUUAAUUUUCCUGCCCUCUGUUUGGUGCCUCGUCGGGAAGGCAGCAUGCUGCUUGAUGGGCUAAUGGCACACUGUGACAAUGCAUCGCAUCGGCACCUUUGGAAACCUUAAGCCUUGCAAGCAUCAGCCCCAAACAGCUCUUUUAGGACUGAGGAUGCCCACGUGUAACCCUCAAACCACAUGGAUCAGGCUUGGCCGUUGGUGCAGGAUUUGCUGCCCAUCCACCAAUCUCUGCAUUCAGCAGCUGGGCACAGGCAGGGUUGUCCCUGUGGGGCUGCACAGUCCCCAGUUUGUGGCCACUGAAAAACAUUUUGCAGAAGGCCAGAGGUUUCCAGCUGCCCUGAGCCCCUGCCCCAUGGCACCACUAAUGGGCCGGGAGUGGGAAUCAAUGGCAGCACAAGGGCAGUGCAAAUCCAUCCCAACUUUCAUCUGGUGUAUCCUUCAGUGCUCUCAGUGUUAAAUAAUUCACAUUAUUCUUAAGGUGUCCUAAACCCUGUGUGCACCUUUCUCUGUAUUUAACCUCUACAGCUCACUUUUCAAUCUCCAGCACUUUCUCCUUUGCAAAACAAACUCUUGGGAUUUCUUUGGAUGCCAGAAAGAGAGAGUUUGAAUAGUUGGUUUAGAUCCAGAAGCAUUUUCUUCUCUCUCUAAGCCAGAGAAAAGGCAUUUGCAACCUUUUUGAGCUGUGCAGAGUAAAAAGCUGCUUAGAGAAGGGGGCAAGAGGUGGCCUGGGGUGCUGCUAACCAACAACUCCAGCAAAGACAGCAGGGAACCAGAGUCUCACCCCACCCCACAAAGCACACUGUCCAUCGAGAACCUUGAUAAGCAUAAAGUGUGCAGGAAGGCAGCUCCAUGCUGCUCCAAGAGGCUCCAUAAGCCCCAGGGCAGUGGGAAGGCAGCAGUGAGCAGUGUGCCCUGGGAGAUCAAAAUCAGGAGACAGCAGAGAUGAAGCACCGCAGAGGGGGAAAUCCUGUGUUUUCUCUCAAGGAGAUGUUGUCACUCCUUUAUCUAGUUUGCAAGCUAUCUAGGCUGUGUAUACGUUGAGCUGUCAGUGCCUGGGACACUGAACAUGUUCCUUCUGCUUAGCAUCUGGGCUGAGCAGCCAAGGCAACGCAAUGGGUGCAGCAGCUCCACGGGCAGCCCGAGAAGCCCAAUCCUUCUCCAAAAGUCCAUUGGAAUCCCAGUUCUGCACUUGCCCACUGGUGCUCAGCAGGAACCCCCAGCACACAAAGUGACAGAUCAGUGCUCCAGCUUGGCCAAUGCCAGUGACCAACAGUAAAUAAACGACAUCAUCAUUUCUGUAAUCUUUCCUAAUGACCAAAUCUGACCCCACCCAGAGGCUCCAGUGUCAAACACUUCUCCCUGUGGUGGCUGAUGCCAGGUGCUCCAAAUUCAAACUGUUAGGAAUGUGUUGAGUGAGAAGUGAUGGGCAGGCAGAGUUGCCCUGGGGCACAUGUCCAGAGCAACCAACCACGCUUGCUGGGAUCAUCAGCCCAUGAGAAGAAAACACAUUAAAAUACCACCCCUACUAAUUCUGUAUGCAAAACAAGGCUCUGAGUGAUCUGCUUUUGGGUGCAGAUUUGGGGAACAGGGCUCUGUUCGUGCCUUAGGUCAUUUCCACAUGAGAUUUUCUGGCUUGAUGGAGAUGUCCAUCAUGGAGUGACAGUGGAUACUCUUACAAAACAACAUUAAGAAUGCUGAGGGCCACCACAAAGUUUAAUUAAUUAGGAAUUAAUGACUCAUUCUAGCUGAGUUACGGAGCAAAGAGAUGCCUAAAGAUGCAUUCAAGGUGGGAUAUCAUGAAGAGAAGGCAAAGAUACUGAAAACAUCUUCCCCUCCUGCCUGGCAGGGCUGGUCAUGUGGGAACCUCCUCCUAAUGUGGCUUAACCAGCACAAACUCACUGCAACUCAUCUAAAAUGCAGCAAGAAGAAACCUUUCUCCAAAAUGUCAGUUCCAUGAGGUGAUGUUGCUCUUCCCAGACACACGGUCCAAUUUUGGGGUGUCCUGUGUGGAGCAGGGAGCUGGAUUUGAUGAUCCUUUUGGGUCCCUUCCAACUUGGGAUAUUCUAUAAUUCUUCCAGUCAAAUUGCCUAUGUUAACUGCAAAGAAUCUGCUUUUUCUUCCAUUGUAUCUGGCUGUUAUGCUUUUCUUUCCACAGGAGCUGAGUGCUGUACAGCAGCAGUGCUGAGGCUUCAUUCAUUCAGCCUCAGAGGAAACAAGGGAGAUAUUUCUUCAGUUUGUGACAUCUUUGUAGCACGAAUUGCCUCAUGUUUUACAAUGCUCCUUUGCAGUGUGCUGUGCAUGCAUGCUAGCACUGAUAAUUUUUGGCUAACUGUGGUAUCCAAUCAUUAGAUAAAAACUAAUGAAGGAGAGAGCCAGUGGAUGUGAUGAUGAUGAGGGGGAGGAAUUCAGAGUAGUAGAGGGGGGCAGCCAUCAUCCAGGCAGGGCUGCUGAAUUGAUGUGAAUGUUAAUUAACAUUUUGAUUCAUUAAACAUGGCUCAUUGUAUGGUCUCGUUGAUGGGAAGAUUUCAGAGCUGGUGUCACGCAACAGGAAGUUUCUCCAGGGCUCAUGCUGCCCACGUUGUGCUGGUGUAGGACAGAAGUGGCUCUUAGGUGGCUAAGGGACAUGACCGGUGGGCAAGGUGGGGAUGAGUUGAUGGUAGGACUUGAUGAUGUUGUGUUUUUUUUCCAACCUUAAUGAUUCUAUGAUUAAUAGAAAAUACAAACGAAAACAGAGCUUAAACAGAGCAUGCCUGAGGGUGCAAGCAAGGUAAUAGUAUGGAGAGGCCAAUGCUCAAAUAUUUCCCCAUUCUCAGUAUUUACUCAGCAGCCCCCUGUACUGAGCCUCCAUUGACGUCCUCUCAGGCAGAGAUUCUGGGGGCUCCCAGCUCCAGCUGCUGUUACCCCAUCAAGUUUUCUGGGAUGUUGCAACAGUCAAGAAAGCUGAAAUCUGGCACCUGGCUCCUCCAGCCUUCAUUUCUACGUGCAGAAAGCCUGUACAUCGCCUGGAUGGCAAUACACAGUGUAAAGAGGUUACUGCUGCAGUGAUGGGGAUGGCCACAUUACUCAUGUGCAGCCAAGUGCUGAAUCAUCUGGGUCACCUUAUGAGAUGCCAUCUAUACUUGUCAUACAGAUUUUACAGAAGGAAUAUUUCCAGGAUGUUUUAGGGAGCAUUAAUACCAUUUCUAUGUAUUGCUUCUUUUAUCGCUUUGCAUAAAAGGCCAGGUGAAUCUGGCCACCCAGGACUUGUAAGGAGAGAAGAAUUACAGUUCAGACAUCUCAAAAAUCUCUAAAACGUACCUGCAAUGGUCUCCUCAUCCAUCACCAUGAUGUUAUUUUAAGCUUCAGCAUCCUGGGACUUCCCCACCCUCCAAGGCAGUGUUGAACCAGAGGGACAUGAACGUUUUUUCUUGAGGAACGUCAAUAGGAUUUCCUCUGCCCCUCUGAGUUACAGGGACUCAUAAGCUCAGGAAAAAAAAAAAAAAAAAGUAGGGUCAUAGAAUGAUUAAUUCUACCUGAAC